GCCCCAUAUCGAUGGUAUCUGACAGAAGGCAAUCUUUCACAGUCAUGCCCCAUCUUUGCAACAAAAGGAUGAUGGAGGAUAAGUGAAAACUGUACAAAGCUGAAUACCUCCAGGUUAAGGAUUUCUGACCUCUUUGAAGACAGGCAUUUUAUAAUCUUGGUGGAUAUAUUGCUGGACCUUUGCCAAGCCCUGCUUGUCAAGUGAAAAUACUGAGAAAGAAGAUUAUUUCUACAAUUCCUUUUAAGUCUAUUUGCCUUAUGUUUUUUAUUUUAAAAAAACUAUAAAGUUUGUUAGUUUUUAAAAUAAUUAAACUGUUUACCAUCAAGCAUUUCAGUUCCAGAUAAACUGCAUGAAGAAGUUGAAAUGGUAGUAAAGAAAACAAAGAUGGGAAAUGCAGCUAGACCAAUGAGUGAUGCUUUUUUUCCUCAGAAGGAAAGAUAAUGCCUGAGAACUAGAGAUUCCAAUUCAGUGGCACCCAGAUGGGGCCAGCUCUACAUUUUAAUAGCAUCCAUUUCCACUUCACAUACCAAAAUCUUUAGAACUGUGGAUAAAAGACUAAUAUCAAUAGGAAUCACCACUUCACUCCUGCAAGAAAGCUAGCCUAAAUCUCAUUAGGUGAACUGACCAAGGAUCGGUAUAGGAACUAUACUCCGUCUUUUUUCCUCUGAUACUCUUUCCUCUAUGAAAGCACUGACUCUAGACAAAGCCUGGGAACUCACGUUUCAAGGCCAGCCUGCGUGAUCUUAGGUUGGACCUGUGGUACUCCCAAGUCGUCUUGAUUUAGUUCCACCCAAUGUUCUCCCUAUUCUCCCACCGAGGCAAAGCUUUUUGUCAGUGGCUUCCAAGAUGCAGAAAAGAGGAGCCAGGGUGACCACAGCACCAGCCCCCAAUGAAUUCAUGGCUGCUACUCAAAAAAGGAAGGAGUCUCCAAGCUCCAAUGGGUGAGACUGUGCCGGCUGGCUUUAUUGCCCACAGCCUCCCCGGUGCAGCUGGAAGGAAGGCCCAUAUGUGAAAUGGGGAGCCAUCUUUGGGGCCAAUAGGGAUUAAGGGGGGAGGCCAGGAGUAAAGACUUCUAAAACUCCCUCCUUCCUUUGCUAUUAGGCAAUGUGAUUUUCUUCCUGGCAUUAGAGAACAUUCUGUCACCCCAGAGCUUAUUCUGGGCCCAAGCAGAGACAGAGCAGGGAACAGUUUAGGAGCAAUCAUGCUCCUAAAUCGGAAUUUCAGGGAGAACCCCACUCGGAAGAGACUUGGCUCAGGGAGGCUUGAUCUCCUGAAGGUUCUCAGUAGAUUCAGCUAACGGGAAAAGGAAUAAUGAGAUAGGCCAUGUGCAAUGUCUUACAGCACUUUAAUGCCCUCUCUCGUUCUGCUUUAUAUGUUACUCGUGUACAUGCUUAGCCUUCCCUACCACCUCAGUCAUUUCUGUUUUCAGCCACUAACACAGUAGUUUGUACACAAUAUACAUUUGAUACACUUAAUGCAUAUUUGUUGAAUGAACAUGCAGAACAUUGGCUUUCUUCUCAUUAUGGGCCAAAUCCAUGAUACUUUUAUACUUCCUGAAAUUCUCUUUGUACAAACUCUUCCUCAGUUAUCGGGCUGACAGCUUCUCUUUUCUUCCUAUCCUAUCUGGAAAUGGGGUUUUCUAGUAAGUCUUUGGAGGAUAUAAAUACUUUAUUUCCAAUUCAUUAACCUACUGAUAUCUCCCUUUGUUUUAGAACUCUGAGUCUCUACAUGGUAAGAACUGUCUAUGGGGUUUCUCUUAGGAGGGAGGCAAAGGCUACACAUAAUACUACACAAAAUUGGGUAUGAUGUGGUUAUUGGGGAUCUUUUGCUGAUUCCCACAAGAAAGAUUUGGGAGCUAAAGGAAAGGUGAUAAAUCUAUUCAAAGAAGCAAACUUUGGCUCAAUCUUUAGGUCAAAUGAAAACAAGCUAAACGAUCUGUACAAAAACAGGAAACAUGGCUUCUUCCUGGUGUGCAGGAUUUUAGUUUUAAAGGCAACUCAUUCCUCUGUGUCUCCUAACGGAGUCCCAAGGUUCCUCUUCCCUGUGUCGGGGAAAAGAGGAGACUUACCUUUAUCCCAGCAGCACUCAAGCAUGCGGUUACCCAGCCUGAAUGACUCAUUCUCAGAAGCUUUGCAGCUCAGCGUCACAGAACUGUUGGGCAUAGCCAAGUGCAUGGAGGUGGGGGCCUUAAAAGGCCUAAGAACAGAAAACCAAGGUGUUGGAGAUAGCUACCAUGGCCUCCUUCAGUUGCGUCUGCUGGGAACCUACAGGAAGUCAAGCUUGAGGGGUAACCACCCCAAUGCAAACCUCCUCUUUGGGUAGAGUUGUCCCUAACAUAGCAAUAAAGGUUGGUUCUUUCUAAAUGCUUCCCUACUUUCUCUGGUUCCAGAGUAACCUCGGGGAUGACACAUUCCCUAAUGCCUGCGGUGAUGGUCAUGGUGAGAGGAAGCAUAUUAUCAUUAUGGUCACUUGGCUUGUUGCCAUUUCUCUAUUGCCUAUUUCCUCUCAGAAUCUCCCUUUGCCAUACAAUUUCAAAACAUCACACACUUCUGUUUUUCAUUUUCUUCUGUAAUUAGUUGGUUAUUAGGGAAGAAAAGAAGUAUGGGAGAUAAUUGUAAGUUAGAUUCUACUUCUCCUUCUUUCACUUCCUCUUAUAGAAGUUAGUUCUUCCGAACAAAUACUUGAGGACAGCAAAUGUAUAAAUAGAAUUUUAAGUCACUAUAAAUUAAUGUGCAAAUACUACACUGAUUUCUCAAUCAAAAGCAACAUACAAACACUAAAACACCAAAACACACUUUAGCAGCAAGAAUCCUUCUAGGAAUAUGCCUCCAAAAUAGAUUCAACAAAUGGGACCCCUUGUACCAACAGUUAAAAUUCCCAAGAUAAUCAUUGAUUCUACAAAUACUAAAUUAGGACAAAACCAGUAUGGAUCCUAAAGAGUAUGCGUGUGCUUAAAAGAAUGGUCAUUAUCUCACUUCAUCCUUAGGCUUCUUGAUCCCUUCCACUAGAGCAGGUAGUCACACUCUCCAGCCUCUUUAGGGGAAGGGGACAUUGAUGGCUGACUGAUCCCAGGAAGACAGAGUGGGUCGGGUCGGCUUGGUGCAGGCUGCUGGUCCUGGGACGACUUCUAUGCUGGGAUUUCCUCUGGCAGCCUGCCUUAUCACGAAG
ensembl:lncRNA